rnacentral:rRNA from 1 species
UGCAGAGGGUGCAAGCGUUGUUCGGAAUCAUUGGGCGUAAAGGGCGUGUAGGCGGUUUGUUAAGUCAUGUGUGAAAUCCCUCGGCUCAACCGGGGAAUGGCGAUGGAUACUGGACAGCUAGAGUGUGUCAGAGGAUGGUGGAAUUCCCGGUGUAGCGGUGAAAUGCGUAGAGAUCGGGAGGAACAUCAGUGGCGAAGGCGGCCUUCUGGACUGACACUGACGCUGAGGCGCGAAAGCCAGGGGAGCAAACGGG